GAGAAUUAUGAGAGCUUCGUGCUUUCUAAUACCCUAUAACCAUAAACACCUGUGCACCUUUAUAUAUAAUUAGAGUUGUUGUAGCUAUUAAUCCUUCGGGAUGAACGCAUGACAUCGCUAACUACAUACACAAACAUUAUAGUCUUGAAUGUAAUACAAAUUGUAACAAAAAUA
rnacentral:misc_RNA from 1 species